rnacentral:rRNA from 1 species
UACGUAGGGGGCAAGCGUUGUCCGGAAUCAUUGGGCGUAAAGAGCGUGUAGGCGGCCCGAUAAGUCCGCCGUGAAAGUCCAGGGCUCAACCCUGGAAUGCCGGUGGAAACUGUCGGGCUGGAGUCCGGAAGAGGCGAGUGGAAUUCCUGGUGUAGCGGUGAAAUGCGCAGAUAUCAGGAAGAACACCCGUGGCGAAGGCGGUUCUCUGGGACGGUACUGACGCUGGAGACGCGAAAGCGUGGGGAGCGAACAGG